rnacentral:rRNA from 1 species
AGUGAACGCUGGCGGUAGGCCUAACACAUGCAAGUCGAACGGCAGCACAGUAAGAGCUUGCUCUUACGGGUGGCGAGUGGCGGACAGGUGAGGAAUACAUCGGAAUCUACUUUUUCGUGGGGGAUAACGUAGGGAAACUUACGCUAAUACCGCAUACGACCUACGGGUGAAAGCAGGGGAUCUUCGGACCUUGCGCGAUUGAAUGAGCCGAUGUCGGAUUAGCUAGUUGGCGGGGUAAAGGCCCACCAAGGCGACGAUCCGUAGCUGGUCUGAGAGGAUGAUCAGCCACACUGGAACUGAGACACGGUCAAGACUCCUACGGGAGGCAGCAGUGGGGAAUAUUGGACAAUGGGCGCAAGCCUGAUCCAGCCAUACCGCGUGGGUGAAGAAGGCCUUCGGGUUGUAAAGCCCUUUUGUUGGGAAAGAAAAGCAGCAGGUUAAUACCCCGCUGUUCUGACGGGACCCAAAGAAUAAGCACCGGCUAACUUCG